rnacentral:lncRNA from 1 species
AAAAAGCAACAUAGGAAGAGAGAGGCACAAUGAAAGAUUCAUGAUUGGACAAGUGACCUGUUACAUAGGGGAAACCUGCAGACUCAGUAUCUAAUAAUAGCCACCUGCCCAUUCCUUAAACUAAUGUUAACUAGUAAGCUGGAUUGUUUUUUCAAUGCCCCCAAAAGCAGAGAAGAAAUCAUUGCUAGAGCAUUGCAAUGCAUGUUAGAGAACUGGUUUAAUGCAAAGACUACAUUUUUCAAAACUACUAAGUAUCUGGAUUUCUGUAACUAAUUUCUACCACCAAAUAGGAAGUUAGAGAUAGUGUAAUGGCUUGUAUAUGUUUGGGCAGAGGAGUGGCACUAUUAGGAGGUGUGACCUUGUUGGAGUAGGUGUGUCAUUGUGGAUAUGGGUUUUAAUACCCUACCCCUAGCUGCCUGGAAGGAAGUAUUCUGCUAGCAGCCUUCAGAUGAAAAUGUGGAACUCUUAGCUCCUCCUGCACCAUGCCUGCCUAGAUGCUGCCAUGCUCCUGCCUUGAUGAUAAUGGACUGAACCUCUGAAUCUCGCCAGGAGCUGAGAGACUCCACUUCUGCUCCAUGCUGGCCCACCCCGAGCCGAGAGCUGCUGGCAGAGGACUACGCUGUUGCUGAUCACAGUGGAGUAAAGAGCACAAAUAAAGGAUUAUGGAAGGACUGGGGCCUGAGUCACCUCAGGUCAGUUCCAGGUCACAUGUGCCUCUAGACUAUGUGACAUUUAGAUAUCCCAGGUCACCCCAAGACAGAUUAUACUCUAGUCCUCUUUUGGCUUCAUGACCUGUACUUGGAAGCUCUUGUGAAUCCUCCUUAUCCUUCAAGAGAAAAUAGAUGAUGAAUGCUCAAUGGUGCACAGAACGGGCAUGCUUUCCUACUCAGCCACACCAACAAGAAGCCAUUGUGUCUUGGGUAAUGAACCAAAACUCUGGCUCUAGGAGCAAGUCAUUCUUUCACCAUCUCUCCUUUCCCAUCUCGUUCUUUCUUCCCUCUUCUCCAUGACCCCUUUCCUUUUCUUUUUCUUUUUCUCAUUCUUUCUCUCAGAUUCUCUUUUUAUUCCUUUGGCAGGGGUCUCACCAUAUAGGGCUGCCUGCCUGACCUGGAACUUAACUAUUUAGAUAAGCCUGGCCACGAACACAGACCAAUCUGCCUGCCUCUGCCUUCUCAAUACUGGGAUUACAGACAUGGCUACCUCAUUCUGCUUGCUGUAUCAGGCAUCCCAAGGAAGUGUCUCCUGUCUCGAUCCUCUGUUUCCAGAAUCACAAUGUGUGAUUUCAGCUGGUUCACUAGAAUCAAAAAGUUGGCAAAUAACCAUAGUAUUUGAGGACCAGAGACUGUUACAUAAUCAUCCUUUGGUGGAGACAAUGAGGUCAUAUGUUUGCCCAUCUAAUUGCUGAUCAGGGACACGUUUGAUUGCAAAUAAUUUCCUCGCUGGCCCACAACUUAAUUACUAAGUGUCUGAAUCGACAAAGCUUUUAGAUGUAGGUCUUGCCUAAUGGUGCAUUUGUUAGAGAUCAUUGCCUUCAUUUGGCCCCUAAAUGAAAGGUCUCGGGGAUAUGACGGACCACUGCCAACACUGCUCCCAAUGACCUCAUAUUGGAAAAUAUGCCAAUUCCCACGGUUUAUUCUCUAGCCAGCAAUGGGCUUUAUUGUUUAUGUCCAGGGCCAAAGAGAAUGAGCGCCUCGGAAUGUCAGAUAUUGGUAAAACCUCUGGUGGAAGCACAAUUUUGGGGAAACUUGGUGUUACUCAACCUAGAGAAAAAGGUUUCUCAUUCCCAGUGUCACAAGGAAACUCGGUUGAGAGAAGUCGAGCAGGCAUGUGCAGCCUUUCAGCAUUUUCACCCAAUGUUGUCAUCUCCAGAGUUCAUGCUUGAGAAGCACACAAUCAAAUCAUACAUACAAAAAGUGUUUUAAGUAACUUUAUGAUUUUGUGUUAGCCUAUAUUCACAGCUAUCCUGUGCUAAAUGCAGCCUGUCAGUCAUGAGUUAAAUAUACGUGGGAAGAAAUAGGCAAGAGAGGAGUCUAUGGGUAGGCACCCACACAAUAGAAGAGGACCUAGCUAGAGAUGGAGGAGUCCCAUGGUUGUCCUACUUAGAGUAAUUUCUCCAGCUUAAGUGCUUCCCCCCAUCUCAUUAGACAUACAGGAAGGUAGCUUGCAUAGGAUCAUGGAUGACAUUAGUGUGUUCUACAAUGCUGUUGAAAAGAACUUCUCAGAACACUGCCCUGUCUAGAGCAAUGUAGAAGAGCAAAUGCUGAGAAGUCAGGGUAGAAAGGCAGGGCAAAUUAUGGAAACCCAGAAAUGUCCACCCAUAGAUAUUCGAAUGGUG